GACGAACGCUGGCGGCGUGCUUAACACAUGCAAGUCGAGCGGUAAGGCCCUUUCGGGGGUACGACGAGCGGCGAACGGGUGAGUAACACGUGGGUGACCUGCCCUCCAGCUCUGGGAUAAGCCUGGGAAACGUGGGUCUAAUACUGGAUAUGACUCCACGGUGCAUGUCGUGGGGUGGAAAGCCUUGUGCGGCUGAGGAUGGGCCCGCGGCCUAUCAGCUUGUUGGUGGGGGGAUGG
rnacentral:rRNA from 1 species